AAAGUGAAGAGUAUGAUCAUGGCUCAGAUUGAACGUUGGCGGCAGGCCUAAUACAUGCAAGUCGAACGAGAAAGGCCCUUCGGGGCUGAGUAAAGUGGCGAACGGGUGAGUAUCGCGUAGGAAUCUACCCUGUAGUGGGGGACAACUCGGGGAAACUCGAGCUAAUACCGCAUACGAUCACCGGUCUUUUGGCCGGGGAUGAAAGUGGGGGAUCUAACCCCGUCGCGGCUUCGGUCGUGACGGACGGACCUCACGCUAUCGGAGGAGCCUGCGUUGGAUUAGCUUGUUGGUGGGGUAAUGGCCUACCAAGGCGACGAUCCAUAGCUGGUCUGAGAGG
rnacentral:rRNA from 1 species